CACUAGCCAACGCGUUGGAGAGUCGCGAGGGAUUGCCGUCGUCCGGCGCUCCCGAGAAAACAUACACAGAGAUAUAUAAACGCGCGCGGAUGGAGAGCAGAACGGUAGAAAUGUACGUGUCGCACGAGCGGGGGCGACGAGAGGGGGAUGACAGAGAGGUCUACAAACUCGACGAGAUGAACGCGGCGUAUUGAGAGAGGCGGGAUUUUGCGCAAACUUUUCAACGAAUAAGGCACCGAGACGGUGACCAUUCGCCACGCCUACGCCACCCUUACGAUGUAUUCCAGAGGAUGUUUCAUCUGUGUGUACAUAAUAUAUGUAUACAGGUACGUGUACAGCGCCAGGAUUUUCGCGUUACUCUGCAAGCCGUGAAUACGAAAUGUCCCCUCUUCCUCGCGUAAUCAAUGUGAGCUUGUGAGCGAGAGGAAAGGAGGGAAGGAGAGGGAGAGGAAGCGCGUUGAUCGUGUCGCUACGCGGCAACCGAAGCACGGAGGAAAAUAAGCGUGGCUCGAUUCGGAUGGCUGAAAAACUCAUGGAACAUUCCGCAGGCUUCUUAUCUCGCGGAGUCGUUCCGUCGUGAAUUCACAGAGACUUACAGCUUUCCAAGUAAAUCAAAAAAUACCAUAAAAACAUGAUUGAAGAAUUUGACAAUUCUGAAAAAACAAAAGGACCGACAAGCCGAACGAAAUUGGUACACAUGUGAAAAAAAGGCUAAUCGAACGCGAUUGAUUGAUAUUUGACUAUUUCGAAAAUCGCUUGAAAAAAAGUGAAAUUCAACGUGAGCCUGGUCCACAAAUACGGAGAUAAAUGAUCGAUCAUGGUAGAACGCCAUGUAGGUGCUCUAUCAAGCUGCUUGUGAUUGUCAGAGGGGCUUCGAUCGAGGCCACCCGGUGGUACAAUGUUGGCGGAAUGCCACGUGCCACGCCAAGUUGAGCAGCUAGGUGAGGCUCGCCGCGAAGCUUUGUGCUUCUAUUGAUAGUUCUUAAGAGUAAACGUGGCACUACCGAUUGAACAACACUAUAUUUGGCCAUGUGGCAAUCGUCGUGCACGCAGAGAGGAAUCGUUGGAUCAACUACGAAUCUCUUUACGAAGUGCCAAUGCGCCUCUAUGUUUGUCAAUGAAUGGUGUCCGAGGGAGCAACGAUGGCGGUGCAGCUCAAAGAUCCUUCACUGGAAGGUUAACAUCUUAUUUCAUUCGCAGAAACUGUUACUGCGAACUACAAGAAAAAAACUGGACAGUGCAGAUUUGUAGAUAUUUAUUAACCAAAAUUCAUGGUAAACUGGCAGAAAAAAUUAUGAAAUAUUUGGAUCUGUAUAAUUGUCAUUUUUGUAUUUUCUGGGCAAACUAUUCUAAUCUCAGGCAAACUUUCUUAUGACAGAGAGAAUUAAAUUAAAUAAUCAGAAUUGUGUAACGGAGAGUAUUUGAACAAAAACGUGUAUAAAAAUUGAUGCAUCCUCCAAACAAUCGAGUAUUUAUUCAGCAGAUGAUUACGAAAACUUUUAAUUUGAAAAAAUGUUGUAUUUCUUUUUUAAACGCUUAUCAAUAAUUUUUUUCAAUAUUCCUCCAUUCCAAUAUAUCCGGAAAUCUCUUAAAAACUGAUAAAAAAUAGUCCAUUUUGUCAAAACAUGUUCACCAUCAAUAAAUGUGCAAUCGAGUUUCAAUUCGUUGUAUUUACGAAAUCGUCAGAAAACGUUGCGUCGCAAUAUCCGUAAGGAUUGAAAAAAGGGCACACAUUAAUGUACAAUAUGAGAAUUUUUCUUUAUAAGAGCAAGCGAAAAUUCCGCGAAGAAAAACAUUUCCAAAGAAGGAAAAUGCACAUCGUACAUCCAACACGAUCUGUUUGAAGGGGAUUUUUCAAUGAAGACAACUCGAAUCUCCGAUACCAUGGAAUACAUUUACCCGGCGUCAGACUCACAAAAAACGAUCAAGAGUUAAUGCAAAAUACGAAAGCAAUG